rnacentral:lncRNA from 1 species
GGGAGUUCCCAUCUUUGGGCUUCAGCUUUUUCUGAAGGCGCAGGUUGGGUGGUGCAGAGGUGACGGAGGUGGAAGAGGGGCUGAGUAGCAGAGGGAGCCAAGCAGUGAGAUGCAGUAGGAUCGCUGGACAGUCUUGAGGGCUGGUUUGUAGCUGGUGCUACCUAGUCUGCCUUUCUAACAAGCCAGUCUUAUUUGUUUAAUUAACCUGUGGCCUGUGGUCUAGCAGGAGGUAAUGUGCUGAAUGCUUUUUCUUUAGAUAAAUGUUAAUUUUCUAGGGAAGUCCUAAAUUCACACCCUUUUUCCUCCGUGAGUUCCAGGGUUGGUUUGAGCCACCUGGAAGCAAGCUCGGAAGGAUGGGGCAGUUUUGUUGCGGCUGAGACUUUUUUUCGGUCUGAGAAGCCCUCCUCUCCCUUCCUGGCAGGGAAAUGCAGGAAGGAAGCAUCAAGAAACUAUUGAGAUUGGCUGGUCAGUCAGCUUUAAGGUGUGGCUUUUUACAGUUUUUUCCAAACAAGUUCUUAGGGCCCCCAGACACCCAUAGUAUAAAAUGUGAACACACGUCCUUUCUGUGGGCAGAUAUGUUACUUUGGAUGCUCCGUAUCUUUAGUGCAGUCUAUUCCCAGUGGAUUUGAUGGUAAUAUUGACAUCAGCUGUGGUGUUUGUCAAAAGCCCUGUGUUGUCACCUCUCUCAUUCCCCCUCGCUGACCGUAAAGGCGAGGUUGGGAGCAUGGGGUGUUGUUGCUUUCUAGUCCCAGGACCCGCCCCCCACCAUGGAGUUGGCCGUGGCUGUCCUGAAGGACCUACUCCGCUAUGCGGCCCAGCUUCCUACACUCUUCCGGGACAUCUCCAUGAACCACCUCCCUGGCCUUCUCACCUCCCUGCUGGGCCUCAGACCGGAGUGUGAACUCUCUGCACUGGAAGGAAUGAAGGCUUGUAUGACGUAUUUUCCCCGGGCGUGUGGAUCUCUCAAAGUAAGUAUUCAUGGAAGCUCCUCUCCCGCCCAGCAUAAACCUUGGUAGCUGUCUCACCUCAGAUUCCGAUGCUGAGGUUUUAGGUACCUGUCUUCUGAUUAUUGUCACCUAUCUCCACAGCUGUAAUUAUGCCACCUCGUGGCCUUAAAUGCAUUCUCACUUAAUUGUCAUAGAUACAUUGAAAUUAAGUAACUUGCUUAAGGUCUGAUGCCAAAGCCAGGCUCUUACCCCUGGAUGCCUUCCUUUUUCUGCCCUGCCUUCUCUGUACCUCUAGAAUGCCUGCCCAUUUUUUAUUUUGUUUUAUUUUGUUCCUAAAGCUCUUGUAAUUUCCUCCGGGAAGGCUUCCUGAUUUACUUCUUCCCUAGAUCAACUUCUCCAGCACUUUCUGCGCCUUAUAUUCCUGACUAAUUUCCCUCCAUGACUUCCCUACCCUGUCCCCCGAAUUGUCAUGAUCAAUACAGAGGUGGCUGUGCAGCGGGGCCUUAGCAGGUCAGAGAGGCAGGGUGGAGAUGGGUCAGGUGUGGGAGGAGGGAGGUCAGUGAGAAAAUCUGAGUUUUGUUUUCAAGGAGAUUCACAAAAAAAUGAACUUUUAACAAAUUCUGCCAAAACAGGGCCUUUGAAAUUGCACAUUUGUUUGCAGAAUAAUUUGAUGCCAACUAGUACCUAAGAACAAACAGGUGUUCUGUCGAUUAAAUGCUCUCUCUUGUUAUGAUACAUUCAUUGUUGCUUGAAAAACCAAUGGGCAUCCUCUUACUCAGAUGGAUGCACAAAUCUGUGGAGAAUUGUAAUUAGUGGCAAAUUAGCAUUUUGUUUUUUUUUUUUUUUUUUUUUGUAUAACUGAUGUGGUUAAUCAUAGUAAUUAUUACCAACUAAUGAGUUUGCCAUUCAGGUUGCCUUGAAAGUAAGAUCACAUGGUUCUGUGACCAAGUCAGAAAAAGUAAAAGUGGAAAGGGAACUGGUCCUAAGUCGGUACCUGCUGUGUGUGAGGCACUCUGCCGAGGAUCUAAGACGGGUUGUCUUAUUUUGUCGUCACAGUAGUUCUGUGGAAUCGGUGUCACCAAAGUAAAUAAGGAGAGACAGGUCUAGGAGGUUUUUUUGCUUGUUUGUCUUUUAAACAUAUACAUUCUUU